GUCAGCAUAACACCAAAAUAGUUUGUUAAACUUGAGGAAUGUGUUCUGGUCUGUUAAUAUUCACCACACAGUUCACGACUUCUCUUUAGAUUUUAAUUUGGUAAUUGUCUCUCUCUGUUUUGAUUUCUGAGUACAAAAAUGAGCCAAACUAAUUUUUGGUAUCAUGUAGAAAAUGUGGUUUGUGUAUGGACUUCUCAUGUGGUCUUGAUGAGGAACCAAAGCAAUUUUUUCUUAUGUAUCACCCAACAGCAUUAAUACAGUACCAGAUAUACUCUAGAAGAUGUCUCUCUUGAAUAUAUAUUAAAAACAAUCAUAAGAUGAGCAUUUCUUACAGUCAUGGAGAAAUCAGUGGAAGAGGAAAUUAAUCUACAGCUUGAGAAAAUGAAAGAAAAGCAAGAAUCUGAAAGAAGGAGAAGGAUAGCUGAAGAGAAGCACAAGGAAUGGGUGCAAAAAAAAAGAGAAGAGGUAAAUAUUGCUUUAGUUGUAAAUAUUAUAGCACAUGCUAUGCUUUAGUAAACCUAUGUAAAA
rnacentral:lncRNA from 1 species